UUUCUCCUCCUCCUCGAUUCGGACUGAGGCUUUCGGGACGGCGGCGGGAAGAUGGCGGCCCCCAGGGACCAGCUUGGUGUUUUGGAGGCACAAGGCAGCAGUGGGAGACAGGGGAGCUGGGGAGUGAAGGUGGCGUUUCCCUCGGAUCCUGCCGCCCCCGCCCCGCUCUGCCCUCACGGACCCACUCUUCUGUUUGUAAAAGUGAUCCAAGGGAAGGAAGAAACGCGGAGAUUUUACGCCUGCUCAGCCUGUAGAGACAGGAAAGAGUGUAAUUUUUUUCAGUGGGAAGAUGAAAAGUUGUCAGAGGCUAGGCUUGCUGCCCGAGAAGCUCAUAACCGGAGAUGCCUGCCUCCCCUGUCCCGAGUGCAGUGCGUGGACAGGUACUUGAAGUUUAUUGAGCUGCCCUUGACUCAGAGAAAGUUUUGUCAAAGAUGUCAGCAGUUGCUGUUACCAGGUGACUGGGAGAAGCAUCGUGAGCAUGAGGUGCUGGGUGAUAUUUCUGUCUCCCAGUUAAAAAGGCCUAGUCAGCUCCUUUACCCACUGGAAAACAAGAAGACAAAUGCCCAGUAUCUGUUUGCUGAUAGAAGCUGUCAGUUCUUGGUGGACCUACUUUCUACCCUUGGAUUCAGGAGAGUACUGUGUGUUGGAACACCAAGGUUACAUGAACUGAUCAGGUUGACAGCAUCAGGUGACAAGAAGUCCAACAUUAAAAGCCUUUUAUUGGAUAUAGAUUUUCGGUAUUCACAGUUCUAUUUGGAAGACAGCUUUUGUCAUUAUAACAUGUUUAAUCAUCAUUUCUUUGAUGGAAAGGCUGCCCUUGAAGUAUGCAGAGCGUUUUUACAGGAAGAUAAAGGAGAGGGAGUCAUCAUGGUGACAGAUCCUCCUUUUGGUGGCUUGGUUGAACCUCUGGCUGUUACAUUCAAGAAGUUAAUUGCUAUGUGGAAAGAAGGUCAAAGCCAAGAUGACAAAGAACUACCCAUUUUCUGGAUUUUCCCCUAUUUUUUUGAAUCCCGAAUUUGUCAGUUUUUCCCAAGCUUUGCCAUGCUGGAUUAUCAGGUAGACUAUGACAAUCAUGCGCUCUAUAAACAUGGAAAGACAGGUCGAAAACAGUCUCCUGUUCGUAUUUUCACAAACAUCCCACCCAGCAAAAUAAUCCUUCCCACGGAGGAGGGGUACAGGUUUUGCCCUCUGUGUCAACGUUAUGUUUCUACGGAGAAUCAGCACUGUGAACACUGUAAUUCUUGCUCAUCCAAGGUGCCGUUUCCAGAAUGUGGUGUGGUUGGGAUCACACAGUACAUGGCCUUUCCAGAUGGACUUCUUUCACUUAGUAGUAAUAGGCAUUUACGGUUCCUCCAUGGCUCAUUUCUUGUUGGUGUUAGACAACUUUCCCCUGUCUGUGUACCACAGUUUGUCACCUGUUCACCCACUAAAGGACAUCUUGAUGGCUUCCAGGUUUGGGCAAUUGUGAAUAACCCUCCUAUUUCUAGGAAGGAUGGCAGGAAAUGGAACCAUUGCUUUCUCUGCAAAAAGUGUGUGAAGCCUUCCUGGAUCCACUGCAGCACCUGCAACCACUGCACUGUCCCGGAUCAUUCCUGUGAGGGCCCCAAAGACGGCUGCUUUAUUUGUGGUGAACUAGGUCACAAGCGCAGUAACUGUCCUAACAUCCCUGCAUCUAGGAGGGCUAACAAAGCUGUCAGAAAGCAGAAGCAAAGAAAAAGUAAUAAGAUGAAAAUGGAGACCACUAAAGGACAGUCCAUGAAUCAUACAUCUGUUACAACGAGAAAGAAAAGGCGGGAGAGAACCCAUCAAUAUCUUUGCUCUUAAAUGUCCAGUGACUUGAGAAUAAGGAAGAUUUAUAGUCCAACCUUUGACGCCAUUUUCUGAAAGUGCCACCCUGGACUUAUAUCCAGUUGCUUGCAAAGGAUUGGCACAUGGAUUCCAUGAGGAUAGGAGUGGCAGAUUUGGAAAGUCGUCGUGAGUCUGGGAUACGGCCUAACUUAUGGCGUCCGCCAUACCAUGGACAACCUGUUGAAAUCUCUUCUGAAGCCCACAUACCUGAGGGACCAUGCCUCAUUGAAGAACUGGGUCCUGAUGGCCACUGGUCAUUAUCACUAUUAUUUCCUUAAUUGUAAGAUACUAUAAAUUAUAAGAUAGAUCAUUUAUUUUUGUUAAAAAUCUGUUUGUUUUGGGGGAGAGAGGGGAGAUGCUCCUCCAUCCACUAGUUUACUCCCCAGUUGCCCUCAGUGGCUGGGGCUGGGCUCACUGAAGGUGGGAGCCAGAACUCACUGCGGGUCUGCCACGAGGAUGGCAGGAACCCCACUACUUGCGCCAUCACUGCUGCACCCUAGUGUGUGCAUUUGGAGCCAGAGCUGAAUUUCAGACCUAGGCACCCCAGUGCCGGACACUGGCAUCUCAGCUGCUAGGCUAAACAUCCACUAAAAUGACAUGUUUAAUAAGUAACUAUAAUUAACUUUCAUUCUGCCUUGUGCCCAUAUAACAAAAUGUAAUGAAACAGAAUUGUAGGCUCUCAAUGAUCAGAUUUUAGAGUGUUUUUUUUUUUUAAUAUUUAUCUAUUUAUUUGAAAGUCAGAGUUACACAGAGAGAGGAGAGGCAGAGAGAAAGAGAAAAAGAGAGAAAGAGAGGUCUUCCAUCCGAUGGUUCACUCCCCAAUUGGCCGCAGCGGCCAGAGCUGUUCCAAUCCGAAGCCAGGAGCCAGGAGCUUCUUCUGGGUCUCCCACGUGGGUGCAGGAGCCCAAGGACUUGGGCCAUCUUCCACUGCUUUCUCAGGACACAGCAGAAAGCUGAUCGGAAGUGGAGCAGCCGGGAUUUGAACUGGCACCCAUAUGGGAUGCCAGCACUGCAGGCGGGGGCUUUACCCCCUGUACCACAAUGCUGGUUCCUUUAAGGGCCAUUUGUUUACCUUUUUGGAGAGAUGUUUAUUCAGUUUUUGCUUAUUUUAAAAUUGGUUAUCUUUUCAUUAUUGAGUGGAAAGUGUUAUUAUAUCUGGGUACUGCCGCUCCCCCUCUUCGUGGAGGAGCAACACUGAACCCUGCGCUGUUCUUUCGUCUGCUCGGCCCUCCCCGGGUUUGCUGCUGGUUCUUCCCGGGUUGGCUACUAUCCCUUCCACCUCCGUGGAAGGGCAGUUCCCCCUGGCCGCAUUCCCCACUUCCGCAGGGGAGCGGCACACCGCCGGCCGGUUCUCUCGGGGGCUGCACGGGUUCCCUUAGAUGUUCCCCAUAGAUGUUCCCGAUGCAUGCCGUCUCUCUCCUCCUUUAUAGUCCUCCUCCGCCAAUCCCAACUCGGCUGCCCACACGCCGAGUACGCUGCUCUCCAAUCAGGAGCAAGUCCUACAGUUAAUGGGUUGAACUGGAGGCAGCUGUGCGGAAGCUGUUUACUUCUCUCCCAGCGCCAUAUUGUGGGAGAGCAGAUGCAUAGAAUAAGUCCUAAUUCGAGUAACUUAGUCUAGUCCGGAUUGCUCCCCACAGGUACUAUACCCUUGGGUCUCAAACUGGCACCCAUAUGGGAUGCCGGCGCUUUAGGCCAGGGCAUUAGCAUGCUGCACCACAGCACCAACCUCAGAUUUUAGAGUUUUUAAAAACAUUAUUCUGGGGACCGGCGCUGUGGUGCAGCGGGUUAAAGCUGCCACUGCGGUGCCAGCAUCCCAUAUGGGCACCGGUUCUAGUCCUGGCUGCUCCUCUUCUGAUCCAGCUCUCUGCUGUGGCCUGAGAAAGCAGUAGAAAAUGGUCCAAGUCCUUGGGCCCCUGCACCUGCGUGGGAGACCCGGAAGAAGCUUCUGGCUCCUGGCUUUGGAUCGGCUCAGCUCCGGCUGUUGCUGCCAUUUGGGGAAUGAACCAGCUGAUGGAAGACCCCUCUCUGUCUCUACCUCUCUCUGUAACUCUUUCAAAUAAAAUAUAAUUAAAAAAAUAUAUUAUUCUGGUGCUAGAUUUAUUUAUUUCUGCAUUCUUUCUGUCGUACAUUGUUCUGCUUGGAAUCCAGGCCUCCACCUAGCCAUCCAUUGACACCCUGUGGGGCCUUCAUGCCCCACCCCCUGCAUUCCCCUGGGACGUCUCCCACAUGUCCCAGGCGCUUGCCAGUACCUCUUCUCUGAACCCUUUCCUUCUGCACCACACCUGGAAUACCCAUGUGUCACUCUUGGAUUAAAACUACAGAUUAAUUCUUCAAAAGACUCAGCUUUCUUAAGGUCAGUACCCAUCUUAUCCACUCUGGUGUCCCUUGUAGGGGCUCAAUCAAAAUUGGAUGAACGAAUUGAGUUUUCCAGAGGAGAGGAUCUAUGCUUUCCUGUUUCUUCUCAGGCCUGAAAAGAGGAAAGCAGACAUAGACGGCAUGGGGAGGGAGUUAGAGUCAGCGUGAAGGCUGACCUCACCUCCAACGUGCUGUGUAAGGAAGACUGGUAGCCUUAUCUGGAAAUCUUCAAACUUAGAGUCAUUCAGCUCUUAUAUUAAGAAAAGCACCUAAGUUGAUAUUUGGCCCCUUCCAACCAGUCUAAUACUAGGCACCUGGGAGAAGUUAGACUAAUUUUUUUAAGAUUGAUUGAUUUAUUUAUUUGAAAGUCAGAGUUACACAGAGAGAGGAGAGGCAGAGAGAGAGAGAGAGGUCUUCCAUCCGCUGGUUCACUCCCCAAUUAGCCGCAACAGCCAGAGCUGCGCCAAUCCGAAGCCAGGAGCCAGAAGCUUCUUCCAUGCAGGUGCAGGGGCUCAAGGACUUGGGCCAUCUUCUACUGCUUUCCCAGGCCACAGCAGAGAGCUGGAUCAGAAUUGGAGCAGCCAGGACUAGAACUGGCGCCCAUAUGGGAUGCUGGCGCUUCAGGCCAGGGCGUUAACCUGCUGCGCCAUAGUGCCAGCCCCAGACUAAUUUUAAAAUAUAAAUCCACAGCCUACAGAAGGUCCCAGUCUGCUGCCACCACCUUCAGGAUGUCCUCAUUGGUUUCUCCCGUGGAGCAGUACAUCUGACCAGUGAAAUAAAAUGGUGUGGGUGUGUGUUUUACUUUAUCCUUCUUUUGAGAGCCUUAAAUCAGACCUUGUGUUACAAUGGGAUGACUUUAUAGAUUAGGAGCUACGCAUGGCAGGGACCUGUGGACUUCGUCGUUUGCUCCCUGGGACUCCCAGAACUGUGCCUUGUGCACUGCAGCGUCAGAUUGCAGUUGCAUCUCACGUGCCCUCAGUUAACGGGAGGCAGGCGGCACGGCGAACACAUCUCUGCACUCUCCAGGUACCAGGUGCUCAUAAAUAUCAGCUGAGUGAACGGAACUGCCAUUUAAUAGACUGCUUUCUGCCUCAGCACCCUAACUGCUGUGUGAGUAACGAGCUAAUGCACUCAGUGCUGCCAAAUUAAGGAAAGCUUCCACAAAAUGCAAAGGCAAAUCCAAUUUCACUUAUUUGAUGUGACUUUAAUUGGAACAUUAGGACAUGGGUUAAAUUACUGGAGGGUCAGCUAAGACGGUCAUUGCAAUAAAGUGGAGAUAAGAUCUCUACUGUUUGAUUUCAGGCGAGUUAGUAUAAAUGUUAACUCAGCAAGAUUGAGGAAAAUAGCACCGAAGAGUGAGCAAGAUCGCAGAGCCCUCGGAGCUAAGUUUUACCCCACUGGCUGACAGCCGGACGAUUCUCAAAACGGCGCAGUUGCUUCUUACCGCUGCAGCCAAGCAGAGGUGGAACAGCUGCUGGUCUCUAGGAAACUGCGCCCGCAUUCCUGGGCCAGUUUCUUUGUCUGCAGAGGCAGAGGGCAGCCUGAGCAUCCUACAUGCUUCAGGAGGACAAAAGGCUUAAUGCUUCACUAAGUAAUGAGUUCAGGGAGUAAAAGUAAAGAUCACAGUUAAGCAGGAAUAUGGUUAAGGGCUGUAAACAAUCAAAUAAGAUGUUCAACUUCAUUCAUUUACAGCACAUUUUAAAACAGUCACAGAUCAUUAAACUGUAGUAGCAUACAAUUCUUAACAAUUUAACAAAGAUUUAAAACAAAUUUUGACAAAACACAAUUUUCAGCAAAACAGAUACAGGCAUUGUUGGUUUUGCUUGUUUUUUCUUUUAGUGCCUACAUGUAAGGGAGAACAUGUGGUAUUUUUCUGUGUCCAGCUUAUUUCAUUCAACAUGAUGUCCAAUUGCAGAUAUUUUGAUGCAAAUGAUAAGAAUUUCAUUCUUACAGCUGAAUAGUAUUUCAUUGUAUGUGUAUGCAUGUAUACACACACACAUACCACAUUCUGUUUAUCCAUUAAUCUGAUGAUGGACACCUUGGUUGACUCCAUAUGACGGCUCUUGUGAACAGUGCUGCUAUAAACAGUGGUACACAACAGGUAUCUGCUACUAUGUGUUUGUCUUUUGGCUCUAUACUUAGUAGCAGGAUUGCAGGAGCCUAUGGCAAGUGUGUAAGAGUUCCCCUUUCUCCUCCUCACCAGUGUUUGUUGGGAUUGGUUGUUUUUGUUGUUGAGUUUUUUGAGUUGCUUCAUUCCCCAGUUUAAUCAGUUCUUACUACUCUACAUCAGAAAUGUUUCUGCAGGGGCCAGCACUGGGGCCCCAACAUCCCAUAGCAGAGUGCACUUUGAUUCCCAGCUGCUCCACUUCCCAUCUACCUGGGAGAGCAGCAGGUGAUGGUCCAAGUAGCUGGGCCUCCGCCACCCAUGUGGGAGACCAGGAUGGAGUUCCUGGCUCAGACGUGGUUGCUGCAGCCAUUUGGGGAGUGAACCAGCAGACGGAGGAUCUGUCUUGUGUUGUUUUCCCCUGUGCCACUCUGCCUUCCAGAUAAAUAAAUAAGUAAAUCUUAAAAAAGAAAAAAAAAAGGAAAAUGCAAUCCCUUUUUAAAAGCAACUCUGCAAUCUGCCCCCCCGCCCACCUAGUCUUACUGAUAUCUUUACGCCUCCAGUCUUGUGAGAAGACUUAAGGUUCUGAAUAACCAGUGAACCAGUGUGAUGGGGUCACUUAAAUCUCUGUUGGUAGCUGCCUGGCCCUUCAAGAUGCAACCGCAUGCUACUGCAGAGAAGCCAUUGGCAUGAGCUAGCCAAGAGGAAUAGCGAUCAAAGAAACAGGCCAGUAAAUGGCUGGUUGUACAAAGAUAUUCUUGCUUUUCCCCUCCAAACGCUAGGGCAUACCAACCAUGGAAUUUCUUUAAAAAAUUUUUUUAAUUUCAUUUAUUCAAAAAGCAAAAUGAGAACUUCCAUUUCCUCCAAAUGCCUAUAAUAGCCAGGGCUGGGCCAGGUCAAAGCCAGGGCCCCGGAACUCAGUCCUAGUCUCGCGUGGGUGGCAGGGCCCCGUGCCAUCAUCUCCUGAGCUCUCACCUGCUGUUUCCAGGGUGCCGGUCAGCGGGAGGCAGUGACCUCAAGCAGAUCUUAAUGUCCGUGCCGAACCACCACCACUGUGUGGAAGUUAUUGGAUCCGGUCCGUUUUCUGUUACAUCUUGCUCACCGCUACCUGCUUUCUCACUCUCCAUACGUGGAUCUGCUGCCCUUGCUGCUCCCCCCCCAAGAAAGCACUGACACUUUUUGACUGCACAACAAAAGCUCCAGUGAGUCAGUUGGACAAAGCAAUAUUUGCCUCAGAAGUGGAAGGCAAAGAAAUGGAAUGGUUAAAGCCACAACCUUAGAGAGCAGUGGGGAAAAGAAAAGGCUAGAAACACUGCGUUAAUAGAUCUUGUCCUGGGGGCCCGCGUUGUGGCGUAGAAGGUUAAGCCUCAGCCUGCAGUACUGGCGUCCUAUAUGGGUGCUGGUUCAAGUCUUGGUUGCUCCACUUCCGAUCCAGCUCUCUGCUGAUGGCCUGGGAAAGCACUGGAAGGUGGCCCAAGUGCUUGGGCCCCUGCACCACAUGGGAGACCCAGAAGAAGCUCCUGGCUCCUGGCUUUGGCCUGGCACAACUCCAGCCCUUGCAGCCAUUUGGGGAUUGAAACAAUGAAUGGAAGAUUCUCAUUCUCUCUCUCCCUCCCUCCCUCUUCCUCUCUCUGUAUAUUUGCAUUUCAAAUAAAUAAAUAAAACUUAAAAAAAAACAACACAGGUCUUGUCCUUUGGCUGUGUUGAAUCAUUUCCAGUAACAAUUGCUGUCCCACCCAACACACAGUGAUACACCUGAGGCUCCAUAGCCACGCAAGACUGCUGUUUCCUGCCCACGUCUGGAACACCACACCUGAGCUGCUUCCUGUGUCUUCUAGGAAAAGCAUACUCUUCUGUGAAGACCGAAUAUGUGUAUGCAGACUUGUAUUUAGAAGUUCUAGGAAAAUGGACGUGUAAUGUUCAUGAAAAGUGAUUAGUUACUGGCCCUUCACCAUCCAGAUUAUCCAUCAUUACUGCCCCAAAACAUUAAACAGCACCUAAUUCCAGAUUACUGCUAAUGCACACCCUGGGAGGGGGAGGUGAUGGCCCAGGUAAUUUAUUUUUUUUUUAAGA